GAUGAAGAACGCAGCGAAAUGCGAUAAGUAAUGUGAAUUGCAGAAUUCAGUGAAUCAUCGAAUCUUUGAACGCACAUUGCGCCCCCUGGUAUUCCGGGGGGCAUGCCUGUUCGAGCGUCAUUUCACCACUCAAGCCUCGCUUGGUAUUGGGCAACGCGGUCCGCCGCGUGCCUCAAAUCGACCGGCUGGGUCUUCUGUCCCCUAAGCGUUGUGGAAACUAUUCGCUAAAGGGUGUUCGGGAGGCUACGCCGUAAAACAACCCCAUUUCUAAGGUUGACCUCGGAUCAGGUAGGGAUACCCGCUGAACUUAAGAAUAUCAAUAAGCGGAGGA
rnacentral:misc_RNA from 1 species